AACGAACGCUGGCGGCAGGCCUAACACAUGCAAGUCGAGCGAGGACUUCGGUCCUAGCGGCGGACGGGUGAGUAACGCGUGGGAACGUGCCCUUUGCUUCGGAAUAGCCCUGGGAAACUGGGAGUAAUACCGGAUGAGCCCUUUGGGGGAAAGAUUUAUCGGCGAAGGAUCGGCCCGCGUUGGAUUAGGUAGUUGGUGGGGUAAUGGCCUACCAAGCCGACGAUCCAUAGCUGGUUUGAGAGGAUGAUCAGCCACACUGGGACUGAGACACGGCCCAGACUCCCACGGGAGGCAGCAGUGGGGAAUCUUAGACAAUGGGGGAAACCCUGAUCUAGCCAUGCCGCGUGAGCGAUGAAGGCCUUAGGGUUGUAAAGCUCUUUCAGCUGGGAAGAUAAUGACGGUACCAGCAGAAGAAGCCCCGGCUAACUCCGUG
rnacentral:rRNA from 1 species